UACGAACCGUACAAACGUUAUUCGGAAUCACUGGGCUUGAAGGGUGCGUAGGCGGCCAUGUAAGUGAGGUGUGAAAUCCCUCGGCUCAACCGAGGAACUGCGCUUCAUACUGCAUGGCUUGAGGGAGACAGGGGUAAGCGGAACUGAUGGUGGAGCGGUGAAAUGCGUUGAUAUCAUCAGGAACACCGGUGGCGAAAGCGGCUUACUGGGUCUCUUCUGACGCUGAGGUACGAAAGCUAGGGUAGCGAACGGG
rnacentral:rRNA from 1 species